rnacentral:rRNA from 1 species
GACGAACGCUGGCGGCGUGCUUAACACAUGCAAGUCGAACGGAAAGGCCCUGCUUUUGUGGGGUGCUCGAGUGGCGAACGGGUGAGUAACACGUGAGUAACCUGCCCUUGACUUUGGGAUAACUUCAGGAAACUGGGGCUAAUACCGGAUAGGAGCUCCUGCUGCAUGGUGGGGGUUGGAAAGUUUCGGCGGUUGGGGAUGGACUCGCGGCUUAUCAGCUUGUUGGUGGGGUAGUGGCUUACCAAGGCUUUGACGGGUAGCCGGCCUGAGGGGGUGACCGGCCCCAUUGGGACUGAGAUACGGCCCAGACUCCUACGGGAGGCAGCAGUGGGGAAUAUUGCACAAUGGGCGGAAGCCUGAUGCAGCAACGCCGCGUGCGGGAUGACGGCCUUCGGGUUGUAAACCGCUUUCGCCUGUGACGAAGCGUGAGUGACGGUAAUGGGUAAAGAAGCACCGGCUAACUACGUG